rnacentral:rRNA from 1 species
ACCUGAAACCGUGUACGUACAAGCAGUGGGAGCCUCUUAAUGGGGUGACUGCGUACCUUUUGUAUAAUGGGUCAGCGACUUAUAUUCUGUAGCAAGGUUAACCGAAUAGGGGAGCCGAAGGGAAACCGAGUCUUAACUGGGCGUUAAGUUGCAGGGUAUAGACCCGAAACCCGGUGAUCUAGCCAUGGGCAGGUUGAAGGUUGGGUAACACUAACUGGAGGACCGAACCGACUAAUGUUGAAAAAUUAGCGGAUGACUUGUGGCUGGGGGUGAAAGGCCAAUCAAACCGGGAGAUAGCUGGUUCUCCCCGAAAGCUAUUUAGGUAGCGCCUCGUGAAUUCAUCUCCGGGGGUAGAGCACUGUUUCGGCAAGGGGGUCAUCCCGACUUACCAACCCGAUGCAAACUGCGAAUACCGGAGAAUGUUAUCACGGGAGACACACGGCGGGUGCUAACGUCCGUCGUGAAGAGGGAAACAACCCAGACCGCCAGCUAAGGUCCCAAAGUCAUGGUUAAGUGGGAAACGAUGUGGGAAGGCCCAGACAGCCAGGAUGUUGGCUUAGAAGCAGCCAUCAUUUAAAGAAAGCGUAAUAGCUCACUGGUCGAGUCGGCCUGCGCGGAAGAUGUAACGGGGCUAAACCAUGCACCGAAGCUGCGGCAGCGACACUAUGUGUUGUUGGGUAGGGGAGCGUUCUGUAAGCCUGUGAAGGUGGCCUGUGAGGGUUGCUGGAGGUAUCAGAAGUGCGAAUGCUGACAUAAGUAACGAUAAAGCGGGUGAAAAGCCCGCUCGCCGGAAGACCAAGGGUUCCUGUCCAACGUUAAUCGGGGCAGGGUGAGUCGACCCCUAAGGCGAGGCCGAAAGGCGUAGUCGAUGGGAAACAGGUUAAUAUUCCUGUACUUGGUGUUACUGCGAAGGGGGGACGGAGAAGGCUAUGUUGGCCGGGCGACGGUUGUCCCGGUUUAAGCGUGUAGGCUGGUUUUCCAGGCAAAUCCGGAAAAUCAAGGCUGAGGCGUGAUGACGAGGCACUACGGUGCUGAAGCGACAAAUGCCCUGCUUCCAGGAAAAGCCUCUAAGCAUCAGGUAACAUCAAAUCGUACCCCAAACCGACACAGGUGGUCAGGUAGAGAAUACCAAGGCGCUUGAGAGAACUCGGGUGAAGGAACUAGGCAAAAUGGUGCCGUAACUUCGGGAGAAGGCACGCUGAUAUGUAGGUGAAGCGACUUGCUCGUGGAGCUGAAAUCAGUCGAAGAUACCAGCUGGCUGCAACUGUUUAUUAAAAACACAGCACUGUGCAAACACGAAAGUGGACGUAUACGGUGUGACGCCUGCCCGGUGCCGGAAGGUUAAUUGAUGGGGUUAGCGGUAACGCGAAGCUCUUGAUCGAAGCCCCGGUAAACGGCGGCCGUAACUAUAACGGUCCUAAGGUAGCGAAAUUCCUUGUCGGGUAAGUUCCGACCUGCACGAAUGGCGUAAUGAUGGCCAGGCUGUCUCCACCCGAGACUCAGUGAAAUUGAACUCGCUGUGAAGAUGCAGUGUACC